rnacentral:tRNA from 5 species
GGGGGAUUAGCUCAGUUGGCUAGAGCGCCACGCUGGCAGCGUGGAGGCCAUCGGUUCGAAUCCGAUAUUCUCCA